rnacentral:misc_RNA from 1 species
GAAAUGCGAUAAGUAAUGUGAAUUGCAGAAUUCAGUGAAUCAUCGAAUCUUUGAACGCACCUUGCGCUCCUUGGUAUUCCUUGGAGCAUGCCUGUUUGAGUAUCAUGAAAUCUUCAAAGUAAAUCUUUUGUUAACUCAAUUGGUUUCUACUUUGGUAUUGGAGGUCUUUGCAGCUUCACACCUGCUCCUCUUUGUUCAUUAGCUGGAUCUCAGUGUUAUGCUUGGUUCCACUCGGCGUGAUAAGUUAUCUAUCGCUGAGGACACUGUAAAAGGUGGCCAAGGUAAAUGCAGAUGAACCGCUUCUAAUAGUCCAUUGACUUGGACAAUACUUUUAUGAUCUGAUCUCCUAUCAGGUAGGACUACCCGCUGAACUUAGGC